CCCUUGCCCCCCCCCCCCUGUUGUUGCGCCCCUGGCAGUCAGUCAGACGUCUUGUAAACGCGUGCUCCCUCUGACGGCGCCCAGCCUUCACAGAGUCGGCGCGCGGCGCGCUAUGAAUGAACUUGCUUCCUGCGCGGCCCGCCAGAGAUCAGCCGCGCGUCACGGCCUCCUCGAUCAGCUCCGGCCCGGCCGCCCGCGCGUCACGGCCGCCUGGGCGUGGCGAGGGCGCCUGCUCGCCCGGGGUCCAGGGCGACUCGGGACGCCGAGCGCCGCCACUCGCCUGUCGCCAGAUGGAGGCGGGCGACGCGGCGCUGGAGCGCAGCUCGAGCAGCGACGGCGCGGACAGCGACCAAGAGGACGAGGCGGACGACGCCGCGUGCGAGGCGGCCGGCGGGGCUGAGGAGCACGCGAGGAAUAAGAGAGACGUCGGAGAGACAGCCUAUGGCAAGUGCGAGUGUGCGGAACCGCGCGGGGGACGGCACGGCGCACAUCUGCUCCCCUCUCACGCGGGCAACCCCGUGUACGGCCCCAGGAUGCAGCUGUACUGCCGCACCGGCUUCCAUCUCGCCAUACUGCCCAACGGCAAGGUCAGGGGAUCCCCCGACGACUUCAGCAAGUUCGCUGUUAUGGAGCUCAGCAGUGUGGACAUCAGCGAGGUGAGGAUACGAGCUGUCGAGACAAACCUGUUCCUCGCCAUGAACAACAAGGGCAGGCUCUACGGAGAGGAAAACAGGAAUGCAGAAGGAACUAUUUUCAUAGAAGAACUGGAAGGAAUGUACAACACAUACAUGUCAAAAACUUGGAGCAAUUGGUUUGUUGGCAUCAGCAAAUCUGGGAAGCCAAAACGUGGGCCUAAAACCAAGCGUGGACAGAAAUCAACUCAAUUUUUACCUCGGCGAGUUCACUAAAGCAAACACAAACUUGGAGCAGUACGCUCCAAAAGAAAUUUACAAACUUUAAUAUCCUGUAACAUCUUUGGUAGUGCUUUCGUGUGUUUCUUUUACUUAGAUCCAGUUGCUCCCGUAGUUCUGCCAACUAACGAGACUGCAUGUGAAGUGGAGUUUACCAAAAUGAGGACGUGUCGGAGGAGGGCACGAUCUUCGUGGAGAUGGUGUCCGGCCAGUACAACUCCUACCUGUCUCGCAAGUACGCACACCUCGGCUGGUACCUGGCCAUCAAGCGGUCGGGCAGGCCCAAGAACGGUCGCAGGACCGCGUGGGGGCAGAAGUCCACCCAGUUCCUGCCUCGCAGGACCUGAGACGGGCUCUGCCGGCGACGCUUCGCUGACCAAAUGUGUGAAAUGACAGGCUCACUGGAAUCUAGCUCUCACAGUACAGCACUUUUAAUUUUCCAGCAAGCUUUCCACUCUGAAGCAGUCUGAUGAACUGAGAAGAGUGCAAGUUCUUUUAACACACCUGAAUCAACCUUACAACACACAUUUUUACAUACUGCAGUAUAAGAAUGGUAGGAUUCCUGUGCUAAAGUAAAAUUCACCAACAUGUGACUUAAGGAGAAUAAAAAUUAAUGAGUGAGGUGUACCAAAAUUAUCAGCCUGUGUACUCAAUAGGUAUUUAGCAAUUAUUUACAGUGGUAAAUAUUUUUGUUAUAUAAAAAAAACUUAUUUUUUUAUGAUAGCAUGGCAUAGCAAUAAGCUGUGAAGUGUUGAGAGUUAUGUCCUCUAACAAAGUUGUAAUAAAUUCAUAGAGUAUACAAA